CGGGUUUUAAAGCUGGGCGCCGCCAUAUUGGUUAGGGGCGGGAGAGGCUUGUAGUAAAUUGCUUGUGGAAACAGACGAGCACAACUGCGGAGAUUACAAAGGGAAAACGUCAAAAAAGAGAGACUGGCAGUGGACGGUAAAUCUAAAAUAUUGAUUCUGCAACAUUGGAAAGAUAAAUGUAAGGCCCCAUUUAUUCAGAAGACCCCUAAACUUCAAGAUCAUAUUUCAGUUUGCGACAAGAAAUUUCCUUAUUUGUAAUCAGAAAUUUUUAAUCCUACCUUAUCACUUUCGG